GUGAUACUCCCUCCGUUCGGAAUUACUUGUCGUAGAAAUGGAUGUAUCUAGACAUUUUUUAUUUCUAGAUACAUCCAUUUUUGCGACAAGUAAUUCGGAACGGAGGGAGUAGACC
rfam:Triticum urartu cultivar G1812 contig1229425, whole genome shotgun sequence.